rnacentral:rRNA from 1 species
UGACUGUACUAAGGUAGCAUAAYCAAUAGCCUCCUCAUUAGUGGCUGGUAUGAAAGGUUAAUAUCGGGGAGAGAGUUUUGUAUAUUAAUUUUGAACUUAAAUUAAAAAUAAAAAUGUUCUUAUAAAUCUUAAGGACGAUAAGACCCUAGAAGCUUUAAUGAUAAUUUAUUUUGAUUGGGGCGAUCAAUGAAGACAGAGAUCUUUAUCAAAGAAAAAGAAAAGUGUAUCAAGUUACUCUAGGGGUAACAGCAUUAUCUAAUUUCAAAGU